rnacentral:rRNA from 1 species
CCCUUGUCUUUUGCGUACUUCUUGUUUCCUUGGUGGGUUCGCCCACCACUAGGACAAACAUAAACCUUUUGUAAUUGCAAUCAGCGUCAGUAACAAAUUAAUAAUUACAACUUUCAACAACGGAUCUCUUGGUUCUGGCAUCGAUGAAGAACGCAGCGAAAUGCGAUAAGUAGUGUGAAUUGCAGAAUUCAGUGAAUCAUCGAAUCUUUGAACGCACAUUGCGCCCUUUGGUAUUCCAAAGGGCAUGCCUGUUCGAGCGUCAUUUGUACCCUCAAGCUUUGCUUGGUGUUGGGCGUCUUGUCUCUAGCUUUGCUGGAGACUCGCCUUAAAGUAAUUGGCAGCCGGCCUACUGGUUUCGGAGCGCAGCACAAGUCGCACUCUCUAUCAGCAAAGGUCUAGCAUCCAUUAAGCCUUUUUUCAACUUUUGACCUCGGAUCAGGUAGGGAUACCCGCUGAACUUAAGCAUAU